UUUAUAUUUUCAAACAUAUAAAUAAUUACGCCCAAUAACAAGCCACUUAAAAUGGCACUAAAUUCAUAUGCGUUCAACUCCAAACGUGUUUUGGAGUGCGUAAAUUGCCUAAUGCUCUAGGAAAAUACAAGAUUACCUUAUGGGGCCCAGAACAUGAAGGAAUAGAAGAAAAUGAACAGUACGACCAACUAACCUAAAAAAGUGCAUCCUCAUGGAGCCAGAAGCCCAACUAGGGCCACGGGAAUGUGUGCUUAAGUUGAAACUGGCAAAAUGCUAUAGAAAGAAAAAUUCAAGCACUGGACAAAAGCACCAGGUCCUUGAAUUGAGCAUUGGACUUAAAUAUCAGCACAUGAACUUUGCCCCUGUUGGCCGGCUCGCCGUUCCCGAAUUUUGACCCGAUGCUGUUUCUUUUUCUGAGAG